AUUAAACGCUGGCGGCAUGCCUUACACAUGCAAGUCGAACGGCAGCACGGGGGCAACCCUGGUGGCGAGUGGCGAACGGGUGAGUAAAGCAUCGGAACGUGCCCUGGAGUGGGGGAUAACGUAGCGAAAGUUACGCUAAUACCGCAUAUUCUGUGAGCAGGAAAGCAGGGGAUCGCAAGACCUUGCGCUCUGGGAGCGGCCGAUGUCGGAUUAGCUAGUUGGUGGGGUAAAAGCCUACCAAGGCGACGAUCCGUAGCGGGUCUGAGAGGAUGAUCCGCCACACUGGGACUGAGACACGGCCCAGACUCCUACGGGAGGCAGCAGUGGGGAAUUUUGGACAAUGGGCGAAAGCCUGAUCCAGCCAUGCCGCGUGAGUGAAGAAGGCC
rnacentral:rRNA from 1 species